CAGGAUUUCAUCUUCUUCUGCGACGCCGUCGCGUCCUGGGUGAGCCCCAAGGACGACCUGAGGGACAUGUUUUACAAGAUCCUGCACGGCUUCAAGGCCCAGGUGGGCGAGGAGAACUGGCAGCAGUUUUCGGAGCAGUUCCCCCCCCUCCUCAAGGAGCGACUGGCGGCGUUUUACGGGGUCUGAGCCAGGGGGUGACCCCUCAAACAGGUCGGCGCCAGGACCCCGAAGGGGACGCGGCCGAGGGACCCCGGGGGGGGGCGGGAGUGGGGUCCCCCCCCCCCUGCCACGGCCCCCGGGGAGGGUCCCGGGGGGGUCCUGAGAGUGGUGUGACCCCCCCCCAGGGGAGGAUAAAGGGAGGGGGGCUGCGGGUGGGGCCGCAGGG